UACGGAGGGGGCCAGCGUUGUUCGGAAUUAUUGGGCGUAAAGGGCGCGUAGGUGGCCAUGCAAGUCGGAGGUGAAAUCCCCGGGCUCAACCCGGGAACUGCGUCCGAUACUGGCAGGCUUGAAUCCGGGAGAGGGAUGUGGAAUUCCAGGUGUAGCGGUGAAAUGCGUAGAUAUCUGGAGGAACACCGGUGGCGAAGGCGGCAUCCUGGACCGGUAUUGACGCUGAUGCGCGAAAGCGUGGGGAGCAAACAGG
rnacentral:rRNA from 1 species